GCCUGGCCCUAAAUCUUGAUGCUCGAUAUUACCUGAGCAUCCGCCCGAGAACUACGAGCACAAACGCUUAAAACUCUAAGGACUUGGCGGUGUUCCAAACCCACCUAGAGGAGCCUGUUCUGUAAUCGAUGAUCCACGAUAUUACCUGACCAUUCCUUGCACGAAACAGCCUAUAUACCGCCGUCGCCAGCCCACCUUUCCUGACAGCCCAACAGUGGACGCAAUAGCCUAACCCGCUAGCAAGACAGGUCAAGGUAUAGCCCACGGAAUGGAAGCAAUGGGCUACAUUUUCUAGACUAGAACAUACGGAUAAGGGUAUGAAACUGCCCUUGGAAGGCGGAUUUAGCAGUAAAGAGAGACAAUUGAGCCCUCUUUAAGCCGGCUCUGGAGCACGU
rnacentral:rRNA from 1 species